CCCUUGGCCCAUCUCUGGCUUGACUCCAAUGCCAUGCCUGCCUGCUGGGGCGGUGGGGCUAGCUCCAACCCCCUGACUGGCCUCUCAAGUGCACACCACCGCCUCUCCUGGGCAGUGGGGGAUAAAAACUCCCUAGCCUUUGGCCACAGGCACCCAGUCCAGUUAUAAUACUGUUCUGGGCUCCCCUGCAGAUGUUGUAAUAUCCUAAUUUCACAGGGGCAAAACACAGCUCUGAUUGACCCCUCAUCGGAAACUCACCUGGAACAACCACUUCCAGCCUCUCCGGGGGGGUGGCUCAAACCACAACACACUUCAGUUACUGGAGCCAAAAUUAACCAAAAGAUCUUUCACAUAAGAGCCAAUUUCUAUGGCAACUAGAGAGGACAAGGGAGACAUCAGAAUGACACAGCAAGAUAAAGAGGAUUGAAAAAGUAACAUG